GAAGGUAUAGCUCAGUGGUAGAGUGCAUGCUUAACAUGCACAAGGUCCUGGGUUCAAUCCCCAGAACCUCCA
rnacentral:tRNA from 1 species